AUGCACGCUGGCGGCGUGCCUCAUCCCUGCCAGUCGCGCGAACAGACGAGGAGCUUGCUCCUCUGACGUUAGCGGCGGCCGGGUGAGUAACCCGUGGAUAACCUACCUAUAAGACUGGGAUAACUUCGGGAAACCGGAGCUAAUACCGGAUAAUAUAUUGAACCGCAUGGUUCAAUAGUGAAAGACGGCUUUGCUUUCACUUAUAGAUGGAUCCGCGCCGCAUUAGCUAGUUGGUAAGGUAACGGCUUACCAAGGCAACGAUGCGUAGCCGACCUGAGAGGGUGAUCGGCCACACUGGAACUGAGACACGGUCCAGACUCCUACGGGAGGCAGCAGUAGGGAAUCUUCCGCAAUGGGCGAAAGCUUGACGGAGCAACGCCGCGUGAGUGAUGAAGGUCUUCGGAUCGUAAAACUCUGUUAUUAGGGAAGAACAAAUGUGUAAGUAACUAUGCACGUCUUGACGGUACCUAAUCAGAAAGCCACGGCUAACUACGUG
rnacentral:rRNA from 1 species